rnacentral:lncRNA from 7 species
AGGCAUUUUCUCUUCGAGAUCCUGAUUCAUCCCAAAAACACACAUUUCCAAAAAUCACGCAUUUCCUCUACAAUUCCAAAGUCCCCCUUUUUCUCUUCAAAAAUCCCCCUUUUAUCCCAAAAUCACACAACUUCUCUUGCAAAGUCCCCCAUUCAACCCGAACAUCUUGCCUUUUCUCUUGG